rnacentral:rRNA from 1 species
GAUGAACGCUGGCGGCGUGCCUAAUACAUGCAAGUCGAGCGAACAGAUAAGGAGCUUGCUCCUUUGACGUUAGCGGCGGACGGGUGAGUAACACGUGGGUAACCUACCUAUAAGACUGGAAUAACUCCGGGAAACCGGGGCUAAUGCAGGAUAACAUGUUGAACCGCAUGGUUCUACAGUGAAAGGCGGCUUUGCUGUCACUUAUAGAUGGACCCGCGCCGUAUUAGCUAGUUGGUGAGGUAACGGCUCACCAAGGCGACGAUACGUAGCCGACCUGAGAGGGUGAUCGGCCACACUGGAACUGAGACACGGUCCAGACUCCUACGGGAGGCAGCAGUAGGGAAUCUUCCGCAAUGGGCGAAAGCCUGACGGAGCAACGCCGCGUGAGUGAUGAAGGUCUUCGGAUCGUAAAACUCUGUUAUUAGGGAAGAACAAAUGCGUAAGUAACUGUGCGCGUCUUGACGGUACCUAAUCAGAAAGCCACGGCUAACUACGUG